UACAGAGGGUGCGAGCGUUGUUCGGAAUUAUUGGGCGUAAAGGGCGCGUAGGCGGCGCCACAAGUCACCUGUGAAAACUCUGGGCUCAACCCAGAGCCUGCAGGCGAAACUGUGGUGCUGGAGUAUGGGAGAGGUGCGUGGAAUUCCCGGUGUAGCGGUGAAAUGCGUAGAUAUCGUCUGGAACGCCGAAGGUGAAAACAGCUCGCUGGGAUUGUGCUGACGCUGAGACACGGAAAGCCAGGGGAGCGAAACGGG
rnacentral:rRNA from 1 species